rfam:Trichosporon oleaginosus strain IBC0246 unplaced genomic scaffold CC85scaffold_2, whole genome shotgun sequence.
GGCGAAGUAGCCAAGAGGUCAAAGGCGCUACAUUUAGGAAAGCUAAGCUGUAGUCUUCGGUUCGCGAGUUCGAAUCUCGUCUUCGUCA